rnacentral:rRNA from 1 species
UACGUAGGUGGCAAGCGUUACUCGGAAUCACUAGGCGUAAAGCGCAGGUAGGCGGUUUGGUAAGUCUUUUUGUGAAAGCUCCCGGCUCAACUGGGAGAGGCCAAGGGAAACUACCAGGCUAGAGUGUGGCAGAGGAAGCUAGAAUUCCCGGUGUAGCGGUGAAAUGCGUAGAUAUCAGGAGGAACACCGGUGGUGUAAACGCUUUCUGGACCGUAACUGACGCUGAGGCACGAAAGCGUGGGUAGCAAACAGG